rnacentral:rRNA from 1 species
CGAACGGGUGAGUAACACGUAGGUAACCUGCCCACAGAUUGGGGAUAACAUGCCUAACGGCGUGCUAAUACCGAAUGUGGCCUUGUUUCAUAAGGGACAAGGUUAAAGAUUGUUUAGAUUGUCUGUGGAUGGGCCUGCGGCUCAUUAGCUAGUUGGUAGGGUAACGGCCUACCAAGGCUGCGAUGGGUAGCCGGCCUGAGAGGGUGGUCGGCCACACUGGGACUGAGAUACGGCCCAG